rnacentral:rRNA from 1 species
UACGUAGGGCGCAAGCGUUGUCCGGAAUUAUUGGGCGUAAAGAGCUCGUAGGCGGUUUGUUGCGUCGGCUGUGAAAUCCCGAGGCUCAACCUCGGGUCUGCAGUCGAUACGAGCAAACUAGAGUGUUGCAGGGGAGACUGGAAUUCCUGGUGUAGCGGUGAAAUGCGCAGAUAUCAGGAGGAACACCGGUGGCGAAGGCGGGUCUCUGGGCAACAACUGACGCUGAGGAGCGAAAGCCAGGGGAGCAAACGGG